CGGCUCAGUAACACGUGGACAACCUACCCUAUGGAGGGGGAUAACCCCGGGAAACUGGGGAUAAUACCCCAUAGACUAUAGAUGCUGGAAUGCUUUGUAGUUGAAAGGUCCGCCGCCAUAGGAUGGGUCUGCGGCCGAUUAGGUUGUUGUUGGGGUAACGGCCCAACAAGCCUGUAAUCGGUACGGGUUGUGGGAGCAAGAGCCCGGAGAUGGAUUCUGAGACACGAGUCCAGGCCCUACGGGGCGCAGCAGGCGCGAAAACUUUACAAUGCGGGAAACCGUGAUAAGGGAACUCCGAGUGCCCGUAAAAUCGGGCUGUCCAUCUGUUUAAAUAACAGGUGAAGAAAGGGCCGGGCAAGACCGGUGCCAGCCGCCGCGGUAAUACCGGCGGCUCGAGUGGUGGCCACUAUUACUGGGCUUAAAGCGUUCGUAGCUGGUCUGUUAAGUCUCUGGGGAAAUCUACUGGCUUAACCAAUAGGCGUCUCAGGGAUACUGGCAGACUAGGGACCGGGAGAGGUGAGAGGUACUCCAGGGGUAGGAGUGAAAUCCUGUAAUCCUUGGGGGA
rnacentral:rRNA from 1 species